GAGUUUGAUUCUGGCUCAGGACGAACGCUGGCGGCGUGCUUAACACAUGCAAGUCGAACGGAGUCUAAAAAUUACCACUGAGAUCUUAGUCAGUGGGCGAGCAGCGUCAUGGACACGAAGUGACCAUCACGCGUUAAAAAAGUGCCAACACAGGGCUGAGGCCUGAGUGGUGAUUUUUAGACUGAGUGGCAAACGGGUGAGUAACACGUAGGCAACCUGCCGACAGGAUGGGGACAACAUUCCGAAAGGAAUGCUAAUACCGAAUGGAGUCCGGAGAUGGCAUCAUCUCCGGAUAAAAGAUGGCCUCUGAAUAUGCUAUCGCCUGUCGAUGGGCCUGCGUCUGAUUAGCCAGUUGGCGGGGUAACGGCCCACCAAAGCGACGAUCAGUAGCCGGUCUGAGAGGAUGAACGGCCACAUUGGGACUGAGACACGGCCCAGACUCCUACGGGAGGCAGCAGUGGGGAAUCUUCCACAAUGGGCGAAAGCCUGAUGGAGCAACGCCGCGUGAGUGAAGAAGGUCUUCGGAUCGUAAAGCUCUGUUGCACGGGACGAAAACCGAG
rnacentral:rRNA from 1 species